rnacentral:miRNA from 1 species
GUUUUCUAUUCCUUUAGGUAGUAGGUUAGGCAGUUUAUUUGAGAUUUUACUUGUUUCUUGAGGAAGGUCUGUAUCACUAUAAACUUUCCUCUUAGAACUACUUUC